rnacentral:misc_RNA from 1 species
UUGAAUCCUCAAGGAUGUUGCUGGCCUAGGCAUGUGCACUCCGCCUUUCAAUUCACCUGUGAACUUAUUGUAGGCCCGAGUGGUCUAUGUUUUUAAACACACCCCAAAUGUCUAUAGAAUGUCUAAUAGUAGGCCUUAUGGUCGAAACUUAAUA